AUUUUCACACACAAGUUGGUCUUCAUGACUUCCAUAAGACAAUGUACUAUCACUUACCACAAUGGCUUCAACACUAGAUGGAUCAACUAGUGUUUCCACAAUCUCAAGUUGUACAUUAUCAUCACCAAAUAGAGGCACAUUCGGCUUACCUAAAGUCAAACUAUCAUUCACACUUAGUUGGCUACUAGCCUCAUUCACUAGAGUGUAAAAGUUAGUUUGAUUACCUUGUAGCUCAUGUGGAGCAUGUCCACUCACGGGAACUUGAUUAGGAAGGCUUGGUUGCUCUAUCAAGUUAUCCAACUCCUUGCAAAGAGAGCUUUCCGUCCCUUCUAUUUUUCCUUCUACUAGGUCCAUUAUUCUUUCCAUUCUCUCCAUUCGACUACUAAGGUCAUGUUUCAUACCCAUUAUAGCAGCCAUCACAUCAUUCAUGGUCACCUUUCUCGAUGUCAUAGUACCUAUUAAGAACACUAAAACAUAAUAAAAAUAAUAACAUGUUAAUAUUAGCAAAAAUCAGUCCACCAGUUGACUCAAAAUAGUCCACAAUUCCACACUUUCACACUUUGACAUUUUCACUCUAUUGGUCUCACAAACGUUGAUAACUCGCUUAUACUCCAAUGAGGUUACUUGGUCCCAAUUGUGGCUCGAGGUCGGAGUAGAUUCUAGUUUGAAACGACUCAAAUAAGUAAUGUACGAACUUGAACCAAAAGAUACUACUACUCAAAAAUGAGAAAAGCACAAAACAAACAACAUUAACACUAAGAAGUGUAUUCAAAAACUAAUUUACAAUCUAGUAGAGGAGUACUUGCUUGUCGGUUAGUUAUUAGAGUCAACAAACGAAACUAGGAACCAACAAUAAGAAACUAAGAAAAUACAAAUUUGAGCCAAAAUUUGUUGUGUGAACAGUAACAGUGACACGACAGUCACGUAUUGGUUCCGGCCGAACAAUUUUUUGAUUUCCAAAAUUGAAAGUCUUGAACAAUUGGUGAUUUGGAAUUUGAGGGAAUUGUUUUGGAGGGAAACAAGUCUUGAAAUCCUCUUCAAAUUCAAAAGAAUAGAAGGCUUGACUUUUUGCACUAAUUCCCUAAAACAAGUUCCUUAAAACAAGGAAAGUUUUUGAGAAGUGCUUGACUAGCUGAUGGAUGAUUGCAAGUCUUACAAGACUAACAAGUUUUUACCUUUUUCCCUUCACCUUUUUAAGAUCUAGUAGUCACUUUAUUCAUCAAGUUAUGAAGGUUGUAAGAACAUCAAGAACAUCUUCAUCAACCACCAAGAACUCAAUAAUCCAAACGUCCACCUAUAACAACAACAACGCCAACAAGUCACGGCUAAGACCAGAAUGAACAACAACAAUCGGUCACUCUUCAAGUUCACAACAACAACUCCAACAAGUUCAAGCUCAAGUUUAGAUUUUAGACUCAAAAGUGUUAGUAAAAAGAAAUCCAACACUUAGAAACAACUAAACAAACAAAAAUUCUUGGCCAAUACACAACAAUAACACAAUUUUCGGCCAAGAACACUAAAUGGACAGUUUUGCAAUUUUCUGGAAAUUUCAGUUUUCAACCUUUUUUUUUUAAUUUUCAACCAAGGGAGCCCAAGACUGGUGUUGUAGGAACAAAACUAAAGAUGACUUUGAUACCAAAUGAUACCGGAAUUAUCAAGAAGACAAGAAAACACACUCAAAACAGUCCACAAAUUUGAAGAUUCAGGGACCAUUUAGAGACCACACUCGGAUAUAAUAACAACAAUAAUGACGAGAUAAAGGGUGUGUUUUAACACCGAAAUAGCCAAUCCAAAGUAAGAUUAACAACAACAAUAUGAAGAAAAGAUGAACAACAACAAGGAUAUAAUAAUGACAAUAAGUCACGGGUUACAAUACUAGAACAAGAACACCAACGAUUAGAACAAAUUAAAGAUAGAAAGAUAGAUAAAUGGAGAUGUAAUAUUAACAACCCAAGAGCUUAUUCCACUCUUGGACCUUUAAUACCACACACAACAUAAAGCUAUCUCUUACGUGACCUCAAGAGAAUCGGAAUCCCCAUGCAGUUAACAUUUCUAAGCAAGCUACCAAUACAAGGAUUCCACCUUGCAAGACACUCUAUGGUGCUCUCAAAACAUAUCAUCAAAGUCUAAAUGACAAAAUGACCUAAUUGUUCUAUUUAUAGGCUAGGGCAACACUUGUUAUAUAAAUGACCAAAAGGCCCUUAAUGAGCCCAAACAAAGGGGCUUGGUUUCUUGGACAACUUUGGAGUAUUGGGACUUGUUCUCUAUACUUCAAAGCUUGUUCCUUGGUUAGGCAGCCCCAUAAGCUCGGGUCUUUCCUCACAUCUUCAUAUCCUCGAGUGCUAAGAUGCCUCUUUGACCCAUAUCAUCCUUUCCUCCUUAGAAAGGAUUCAUACUCGAAUCCGAACCUUGCAAAAUAAUAGGAAGGACAAGCAAACACAAGUUCCUCAAGGUAUGAGGGUUAGGAUUAGCAUAAUCAAUCAUAGCAUCAUGCCAAAGUGGCUCAAAUUUCAUAUAUAACCAAACAUCCCUUGGGUUCUCAAAAAUGACACACCAAUCACGGGAAACCCGAAUUAUAUACAAGACAUGCUUAGCAUCAAUAUAAACAUGCCCACACAAUGCACACAUAUUAUUCCCGAAUAUGGUUUGAAAUAAAUCAACAUCAUAUUUCAAAUAGUUGCUGGGAUCAAAGGGGUAAAGUGUCCAUGGAUACGGGUGAAGGACAUACUUCCUUUCCCAAAGACUACCACCACUAUACUCAUUGACACCCUCUAUACUAACAUGAUCUACAACAAAAAUAACUAGAGAGUCAUCCUUAGUCAAUCGGCCAACAUGUUCAACAUCACUAUUUUUACACACAAGCUGGUCUUCAUGACUUUCAUAAGACAAUGUACUAUCACUUGCCACAAUGGCUUCAACACUAGAUGGAUCAACUAGUGUUUCCACAAUCUCAAGUUGUACAUUAUCAUCACCAAAUAGAGGCACAUUCGGCUCACCUAAAGUCAAACUAUCAUUCACACUUAGUUGGCUACUAGCCUCAUUCACGAGAGUGCAAGAGUUAGUUUGAUUACCUUGUAGCUCAUGUAGAGCAUUCCCACUCACGGGAACUUAAUUAGGAAGGCUUGGUUGCUCUAUCAAGUUAUCCAACUCCUUGCAAAGAGAGCUUUCCGUCCCUUCUAUUUUUCCUUCCACUCGGUCCAUUAUUCUUUCCAUUCUCUCCAUUCGACUACUAAGGUCAUGUUUCAUACCCAUUAUGACAGCCAUCAAAUCGUUCAUGGUCACCUUUACCAAUGUCAUAGUACCUAUUAAGAAUACUAAAACAUAAUAAAAAUAAUAACACGUUAAUGUUAGCAAAAAUCAGUCCACGAGUCGACUCAAAACAGUCCACAAUUCCUUACUUUCACACUUUGACGUUUUCACUCUAUUGGUCUCACAAACGUUGAUAACUCGCUUAUACUCCAAUGAGG
rnacentral:lncRNA from 1 species